CCAAUAGCGUAUAUUAAAGUUGUUGCAGUUAAAAAGCUCGUAGUUGAAUUUCGGGAUCAAUAUAUCGGUCGUGCCUUGGUACGUACUGGUAUCAUUGGUUUCUCCUUUCUGACGAACCAUGAUGUCAUUAAUUUGGUGUUAUUGGAAGUUAGGACUGUUACUUUGAAAAAAUUAGAGUGUUUAAAGCAGGCUUUAGCUUGAAUACAUUAGCAUGGAAUAAUGAAAUAGGACGUUCGAACCUAUUUUGUUGGUCUCUAGGAUCAACGUAAUGAUUAAUAGGGAUAGUUGGGGUCAUUAGUAUUCAAUUGUCAGAGGUGAAAUUCUUGGAUUUAUUGAAGACUAACUACUGCGAAAGCAUUUGCCAAGGAUGUUUUCAUUAAUCAAGAACGAAAGUUAGGGGAUCGAAGACGAUCAGAUACCGUCGUAGUCUUAACCAUAAACUAUGCCGACUAGGGAUCGGAUGAUGUUAAUUUUUUAAUGAAUCAUUCGGCGCCUUACG
rnacentral:rRNA from 1 species